rnacentral:rRNA from 1 species
AUUGAACGCUGGCGGCAGGCCUAACACAUGCAAGUCGAACGAGUGGCGGACGGGUGAGUAAUGUCUGGGGAACUGCCCGAUGGAGGGGGAUAACUACUGGAAACGGUAGCUAAUACCGCAUACCAUCAGAUGAACCCAGAUGGGAUUAGCUAGUAGGUGGGGUAACGGCUCACCUAGGCGACGAUCCCUAGCUGGUUUGAGAGGAUGACCAGCCAACCUGGGGAUGGGGAACGGUCCAGACCCCUACGGGAGGGAGCAGUGGGGAAUAUUGGAAAAAGGGGCGAAGCCUGGAGGCAGCAUGGCGGGGUGUAGAAGGAGGCCUUGGGGUUUGAAAGUACUUUCGGGAGGGAGACGUUACCGGCAGAAGAAGCACCGGCUAACUCCGUGCCAGCAGCCGCGGUAAUUC